CCUACGGGUGGCAGCAGUAGGGAAUAUUGCUCAAUGGGGGAAACCCUGAAGCAGCAACGCCGCGUGGAGGAUGAAGGUUCUCCGAUUGUUAAACCUCUUUUUUAGAGAAGAAAAUGACGGUAUCUAACGAAUAAGCACCGGCUAACGCCGUGCCAGAAGCCGUGGUAACGAGGAGGGAGCAAGCGUUACUCGGAAUCACUGGGCGUAAAGAGCGUGUAGGGGGGAUAGCAAGUCAGAUGUGAAAACCUAGGGCUUAAACACAGAACUGCCUUUGAAACUGUAAGUCUAGAGUAUGGGAGAGGUAGGUGGAAUGCUUGGUGUAGCGGUGAAAUCCAUAGAGAUCAAGCAGAAUACUGAUUGCGAAGGCAGCCUGCUAGAACGUAACUGACGCUGAUGCACGAAAGCGUGGGGAGCAAACAGGAUUAGAUACCCUUGUAGUC
rnacentral:rRNA from 1 species